UAAGUCUUAGUGUAACUAUAACACAUAAAGUUUACACCUUUAUAAUGUCAAAAGACAGAUUU
rnacentral:tRNA from 1 species